rnacentral:rRNA from 1 species
UACGAAGGGGGCUAGCGUUGCUCGGAAUUACUGGGCGUAAAGCGCACGUAGGCGGCUUUCUAAGUCGGGGGUGAAAUCCUGGAGCUCAACUCCAGAACUGCCUUCGAUACUGGAGAGCUCGAGUCCGGGAGAGGUGAGUGGAACUGCGAGUGUAGAGGUGAAAUUCGUAGAUAUUCGCAAGAACACCAGUGGCGAAGGCAGCCCCCUGGGCCGACACUGACGCUCAGGCACGAAAGCGUGGGGAGCAAACAGG